CAGUUGACAUAGUACAUAGGGUAGGAUCUAAUUGGAUAUCACUGGCUACUACUGAUAGAAUGGCCAUGGGAUCUAAUUGGAUAUCACUGGCUACUAUUGAUAGAAUGGCAACUGAAGGAAAAAUCAACAUAGUACAUGGGAUCUAAUUGGAUAUCACUGGCUUCUAUUGAUAGAAUGGCAACUGAAGGAAACAUCGACAUAGUACAUGGGAUCUAAUUGGAUAUCACUGGCUACUAUUGAUAGAAUGGCAACUGAAGGAAACAUCGGCAUAAAACAUGGGAUCUAAUUGGAUAUCACUGGCUACUACUGGCUUACUGAUAGAAUGGCAACUGAAGGAAACAUCUUGAAUUCAGGUACAAACAUCAAUAUCAAACCUUGUGUGGUAAACCAUGGUCCAUCUGUCCAUUCUGACCUUUUUAACCAGAGUUCUUGAAAAGUAGUGGUCCAAGGGAUUUGACCACCAAAAUUUGCAAAGGGCUGAAACAAUUUUUGUAUUUCAAAGUAAUAAAAAUAGUAGUGACAAUCAGCAGUUUUUCUUCAGGAACCACCUGUCUUUUCAAUAUAUCAAGCUCUAGUUCACCAAG
rnacentral:lncRNA from 1 species